rnacentral:lncRNA from 1 species
AGACAAAACGUAAAAGACAAACACAUUCUAAGUAGUGCUGCUAGAUCACUGUAUUAGUCCUUCCCGUGCUGCUAUGAAGAAAUACCCGAGACUGGGUAAUUUGUAAAGGAAUUUAUGGUAUUUAGGCUUCUUAGGUCUUCUGACAAAGGACAGAUUAAAGACCUUGGAAAAUAGGCAGAAGGAUUUCGAGUUCAUGCGAAGAUGGUGGAAAUUCUAGGACAGAAAAAUGAUCAAUUUGGAAGGUUGAGAAUGAGAACAGAUAAAGAAAACCUGAAGGAAAGGCACCAGUGCCUGGAACAUAUACUUGAUGUGGAUAGAAGCCAUCCAGAGCCCAUUUGUCAAGUGAAGUAAAAACUUUUGUAUACAAACAGGGUUCAAACUGGACACAAAUAGGCAGUUCUUGUAAAUAAUAAAAGUAAC